rnacentral:rRNA from 1 species
UACGGGGGGGGCAAGCGUUGUUCGGAAUUACUGGGCGUAAAGGGCUCGUAGGCGGCCAACUAAGUCAGACGUGAAAUCCCUCGGCUUAACCGGGGAACUGCGUCUGAUACUGGAUGGCUUGAGGUUGGGAGAGGGAUGCGGAAUUCCAGGUGUAGCGGUGAAAUGCGCAGAUAUCAGGAAGAACACCUAUGGCGAAGGCAGCUCUCUGGGACGGUACUGACGCUGAGACGCGAAAGCGUGGGGAGCAAACAGG